UUAGNUAUUCAANUUGUUCAGAGGCUGAANCCNUUUGGGANUUAUUGAAGACUAACUACUGCGNAAAGCAUUUGCCAAGGAUGUUUUCAUUGAUCAAGAACGAAAGUUAGGGGAUCGAAGACGAUCAGAUACCGUCGUAGUCUUAACCAUAAACUAUGCCGACUAGGGAUCGGAUGAUGUUAAUUUUUUAAUGACUCA
rnacentral:rRNA from 1 species